AAACCUGGCACUGAAGCUUCAAAUGACGGCGAAAUGCCAUUAAGAAUGGA
rnacentral:sRNA from 1 species